CCCUUAGAUGUUCUGGGCCGCACGCGCGCUACACUGACGAUGUCAGAGAGUGUCUCCUUCACCGAGAGGUGUGGGUAAUCUUUUAAACAUCGUCGUGCUGGGGAUAGAUCAUUGCAAUUUUUGAUCUUAAACGAGGAAUUCCUAGUAAGCGCGAGUCAUCAGCUCGCGCUGAUUACGUCCCUGCCCUUUGUACACACCGCCCGUCGCUACUACCGAUUGAAUGGUUUAGUGAGGCCUUCUGGCUGGCGCCGCUACUCUGGCAACAGAGCGGCGGAUGCCGGGAAGUUGGUCAAACUUGAUCAUUUAGAGGAAGUAAAAGUCGUAACA
rnacentral:rRNA from 1 species